CAUGUAUGUCUUCUUCAGAAAUCUCUCUACGGUCUUAAACAGGCCCCACGAGCUUGGUUUCAACGCUUCUCCUCCUUCAUUCAAACAAUAUGCUUCACUCCAUCUCUCCCCGACACCUCUCUUUUUGUGUAUCAUCAAACUUCUGACACUGCCUAUUUACUUCUCUAUGUAGAUGAUAUCAUUCUUACCGCCUCCUCUCAAAAGUUCUUAGAUUAUAUUGUCUCUCUUCUUAGAUCUGAAUUUUCUAUGACUGACCUAGGACUCCUUCAUCAUUUCUUAGGCAUUGCUGUUGUUCGAGAUUCCUCCAGCCUUUUUCUUUCCCAACGCCAGUAUAUUCUUGAUCUUCUUAAUCGUGCUGGUAUGCUUGACUGUCAAUCAUCUCGCACUCCUGUCGAUACUAGUUUUAAACUUUCGGCUACCGGUGAACCCUUUUCCGAUCCUACUCUCUAUCGUAGCCUAACAGGUGCUCUCCAAUAUCUCACCAUUACUCGUCCUGAAAUCUCUUUUGUUGUUCAACAAGCAUGUCUCUAUAUGCAUGAUCCCCGGGUUCCUCACUAUAAUCAUGUUAAACGCAUUCUUCGGUAUUUAAAAGGAACUCUCAAU
rnacentral:rRNA from 1 species